CCUUCGAUAGCUCAGUUGGUAGAGCGGUGGACUGUAGGUUGUAUGAGAGUUGAUAUCCAUAGGUCACUGGUUCAACACCGGUUCGAAGGA
rfam:Daphnia pulex DAPPTscaffold_126_Cont5201, whole genome shotgun sequence.